rnacentral:tRNA from 1 species
CUCCCCUUAGUUAAGUGGAUAUAACAAGUUCCUCCUAAGAAUUAGUCGCUGGUUCGAUUCCGGCAGGGGAGA